rnacentral:lncRNA from 13 species
CACAGGCAAUGGUCUAUUUGUGACAAUAGAUCACAGUCUAGGUGAGCCCACGAGUGACCACAGCAGUAGGAGCAUCAGUCUCAAGAGAUGUGCAAGAAGAAGUGUGGGCGCAGUCCUCAAAGAACAGGCAGUCACAAUGGAUAGAGAGGAGAUCAGUCAUCAGAUAGCAGGAUCUUAGCAACCAAUUAUGGUUCAAGGCCAGGGUUCUUGCCUCCCCAGAAAAGCGGUAGCUAGAAUUAUGCAGUGACUUAAUAUUAAGAAAUAGAGAUAUUAGCUUACCUAAACAAGAGCUACAACAUGAGGCAGGAGUUGAAGUAAGGUAAGAAGGGCAUUCAAUGAAUAAGAGUUUUAAGAAAAGCCAAAAACCUAGUUACCCAGACUGUUGUCCAAGAAUACCACCAGCAAGGAUGAAAAUAGCCAGCUGGAUAACACUGGGAUGAAUCCAGGCAUUGUAUCAGGAUGGACCCUAGGCUUUAAGAUAUUUAGGAGAGGAUAUGCUUUCCAGGAAAAAACAGACAUAGGACUAAUAGAGGAGGGCAUAUAGGAUCUGGAGACUUCCUCCCAACCUUUAGAGCUGACAGCAGUGAGUUAUGAGGUGUUACAGAGUAAAACAGAGUUACGGUAAGAGCUGUCCAAAUAACUUAUUGCCUUGAAUCACGACACCAUCUUCAGAAGAUAAUUCAUGUCACAAGUGAAUGUUCAGUAAUAUGGAUUUUCUCCAAAAUACUAUAUUUAACAGGCAACAUUAUUGAGAGGUGAAUUUAAUGGCAAAAAAUUAUUUAACAGAAUUGAACUGUAACAUUGAACAAGAGCUGAUUAAAAUGUAUGCAUAGUUGAUAAAGUAACUUAAAUACUGGAUGUGACUAGCAAAUAAUAAUCAGAACAAAAUGUUAAGAUCCUAGCCAAAUCAAAGAUUAAAAAGAGUAAACAAUAAUAUAAUUAGAAUUAAUGCUAUCAUUAUUAUUACAGAUAUAAUAUUACAUUAAAUUUUAAAUGUAUAAUGCAGAUGUUUGUUCCACCAGAAUAGUUUAUUGUAGCAAUAUCUAUUCUUUAUAAAAUUAGACACAAAAAUAAUUGCUUGAAUAAAUGAAAGGUUUUCUGAAAACGUUAAUUUAUA